AUAUAUAUAAUAAGUGAGUACAAAUAAAUGGGGACAAAAGGACAGAGAUGGUAGACACAAUGGUGCACUUAAUGCACGUCCUUUACAGACCUCUUAGGAAUAGGGUGAGGUCAAUAGUGGAUAGUUUGAGGUUAAAGGAGUGAGGGGCUUAG